AGUUUCAACAACGGAUCUCUUGGCUCUCGCAUCGAUGAAGAACGCAGGGGAAUGCGAUAAGUAAUGUGAAUUGCGGAAUUCAGUGAAUCAUCGAAUCUUUGAACGCACCUUGCGCUCCUUGGUAUUCCUUGGAGCAUGCCUGUUUGAGUAUCCU
rnacentral:rRNA from 1 species